rnacentral:rRNA from 1 species
CACGUAGGGGACGAGCGUUGUCCGGAUUCAUUGGGCGUAAAGCGCGCGUAGGCGGCUCGGAAAGUCGGUCGUGAAAUGCCGGGGCUCAACCCCGGGACUGCGUCCGAUACUCCCGAGCUGGAGGUAGGUAGGGGAGAUCGGAAUUCCUGGUGUAGCGGUGAAAUGCGCAGAUAUCAGGAGGAACACCGGUGGCGAAGGCGGAUCUCUGGGCCUUACCUGACGCUGAGGCGCGAAAGCUAGGGGAGCGAACAGG